rnacentral:rRNA from 1 species
ACGCGAGGAACCUUACCAGGUCUUGACAUCCUCUGACACUCCUAGAGAUAGGACGUUCCCCUUCGGGGGACAGAGUGACAGGUGGUGCAUGGUUGUCGUCAGCUCGUGUCGUGAGAUGUUGGGUUAAGUCCCGCAACGAGCGCAACCCUUGAUCUUAGUUGCCAGCAUUUAGUUGGGCACUCUAAGGUGACUGCCGGUGACAAACCGGAGGAAGGUGGGGAUGACGUCAAAUCAUCAUGCCCCUUAUGACCUGGGCUACACACGUGCUACAAUGGAUGGUACAAAGGGCAGCAACGCCGCGAGGUCGAGCAAAUCCCAUAAAACCAUUCUCAGUUCGGAUUGUAGGCUGCAACUCGCCUACAUGAAGCUGGAAUCGCUAGUAAUCGCGGAUCAGCAUGCCGCGGUGAAUACGUUCCCGGGCCUUGCACACACCGCCCGU